ACACUCUAAAAAACGCUGGGUUGUUUUUUCAACCCAACUGCUGGGUUGAGGCCGUUGGAUAGGACUUUGGGAUGUUUUAACCCAAGUUUGGGUUGAAAAUAACUAUCUUUUUUAACCCAGCGGGGUGGGUUGAGGACGCGGACGUGAAGGAGAGCACGCACGUCACGUCAAAAUCUUACGUCUCCAGUGCGAGCAGCCGGCAUUUUCUCAGCGUGAUAGAAGCGAGAAGCGAGUGAAAGACUAUGACUUGUCCAGCUCCUGUCUUCAUUGUCCUCGCGCUGAGAGUUAAAGACACAGAAGCUGUUUGUGUGAGGAGUCACAGACCUGUGUGAGGAUGAGGAGGAGGUGUUCUUCUGAAGAGAGGGACAGACGGUUUAAGGAGAGUAAACUUCAGAAUAACAUCAAGUUAUCUUUAUUUUUACUAAGACUAAAAUAAUGUGUGUGUUUUUUUUAGAUGUUGAAAUCCAGAGACAAGAUAACUUCAUUCUUCUGAGACUGAUAACUCAAACUAACUGGAGUUAAGGACACACAAGUCUGCUUGUGUGAGGAGGAGGUUUUCUCAGCUUCUUCUGAAGAGAGGGAAAGAUCGUUUAAG